GCCGGGCGCAGUGGCUCAUGCCUGUAAUCCCAGCACUUUGGGAGACUAAGACGGGUGGAUCACUUGAGGCCAGGAGUUCGAGACCAGUGUGGCCCACGUGGUGAAACUGUCUCUACAAUAAGUACAAACAUUAGCUGGGUAUGAUGGCGUAUGCCUGCAAUCCCAGCUACUCAGGAAGCUGAGGCAUGAGAAGUGCUUAAACUCGGGAGAUGGAGGUUGUAGUGAGCUGGGGUCGUGCCACUGCACUCUAGCCUGGGAGACAGAGUGAGACCCUGUCUCA
rnacentral:sRNA from 1 species